rnacentral:rRNA from 1 species
UACGGAGGGUGCAAACGUUGCUCGGAAUCAUUGGGCGUAAAGCGCACGUAGGCGGUCUGCUAUGUCGGGUGUGAAAUCCCUCGGCUUAACCGAGGAAGUGCAUUCGAAACUGGCAGACUUGAAUACUCAAGAGGGUCUCGGAAUUCCCGGUGUAGAGGUGAAAUUCGUAGAUAUCGGGAGGAACACCAGUGGCGAAGGCGGAGACCUGGGGAGAUAUUGACGCUGAGGUGCGAAAGCGUGGGGAGCAAAC